UAUUACAUAAAACUAUCUUUUUUAACAUUAAUUGGGGAGUGAGAUCCAUCGAUGCUUUUCUUUGGAAAUUAUUAGAUGUUAAAAUAAUUUCGGAUAUGUAGUCAAAAUUUGUCAAAAAUUAUUUGUUUUCACUUUUAAGAAGGGGAAGUGGUUAACUUACAUUAAAGUGACAGUGUUGUUGAAUGUCAAAUUAAUUUUAUAAGAUCUUGUAUCUUCCUUAGGUAUCUCAAAACAUUAUUUUCGAAAUUAUUUUAAUUGUUACUUUUAAAAAUGAUAUGGAUGUUGCUGCUGGAUCCUUAAGGCAGGGCUUGUCACAGUAUGAGAGAGUUGGUGUGGUGAGCCCACAGGAAUCCAGCAGUGACAUAGAGCCGCCUU